rnacentral:rRNA from 1 species
CCUACGGGGGGCAGCAGUGAGGAAUAUUGGUCAAUGGGCGCAAGACUGAACCAGCCAUGCCGCGUGCAGGAUGAAUGUUCUAUGAAUUGUAAACUGCUUUUCUAAGGGAAGAAACCUAUCUACGAGUAGGUAGUUGCCGGUACCUUGGGAAUAAGCAUCGGCUAACUCCGUGCCAGCAGCCGCGGUAAUACGGAGGAUGCAAGCGUUAUCCGGAUUCAUUGGGUUUAAAGGGUGCGUAGGCGGAUAUUUAAGUCAGUGGUGAAAUCUUGCGGCUCAACCGUAACAUUGCCAUUGAUACUGAAUGUCUUGAAUGCAGUUGAGGUAGGCGGAAUGUGUAAUGUAGCGGUGAAAUGCUUAGAUAUUACACAGAACACCGAUUGCGAAGGCAGCUUGCUAAACUGUGAUUGACGCUGAUGCACGAAAGCGUGGGGAUCAAACAGGAUUAGAUACCCCAGUAGUC